AGAUUGAACGCUGGCGGCAGGCCUAACACAUGCAAGUCGAGCGGCAGCACGGGUACUUGUACCUGGUGGCGAGCGGCGGACGGGUGAGUAAUGCCUAGGAAUCUGCCUGGUAGUGGGGGAUAACGCUCGGAAACGGACGCUAAUACCGCAUACGUCCUACGGGAGAAAGCAGGGGACCUUCGGGCCUUGCGCUAUCAGAUGAGCCUAGGUCGGAUUAGCUAGUUGGUGAGGUAAUGGCUCACCAAGGCGACGAUCCGUAACUGGUCUGAGAGGAUGAUCAGUCACACUGGAACUGAGACACGGUCCAGACUCCUACGGGAGCAGCAAGUGGGGAAUAUUGGACAAGUGGGCGAAAGCCUGG
rnacentral:rRNA from 1 species